rnacentral:rRNA from 1 species
CAGGGAAUCUUGCGCAAUGGACGGGAGUCCGACGCAGCGACGCCGCGUGGGUGAAGACGGCCUUCGGGUUGUAAAGCCCUUUUCUGGGGGAAGAGAGAGGACGGUACUCCAGGAAUAAGUGUCGGCUAACUACGUGCCAGCAGCCGCGGUAAUACGUAGGACACGAGCGCUAUCCGGAUUUACUGGGCGUAAAGCGCCUGUAGGCGGUUCUUCAAGUCGUUUGUGAAAGCCCUGGGCUCAACCUGGGGAGGUCAAGCGAUACUGGAGGACUUGAGGGUGACAGAGGGGAGUGGAAUUUCCGGUGUAGCGGUAAAAUGCGCAGAUAUCGGGAGGAACACCAGUGGCGAAGGCGGCCCCCUGGGUCACCCCUGACGCUGAGAGGCGAAAGCUAGGGGAGCAAACAG